rnacentral:rRNA from 1 species
UGGGGAAUAUUGCGCAAUGGGGGGAACCCUGACGCAGCCAUGCCGCGUGAAUGAAGAAGGCCUUCGGGUUGUAAAGUUCUUUCGGUAUUGAGGAAGGUUGAUGUGUUAAUAGCACAUCAAAUUGACGUUAAAUACAGAAGAAGCACCGGCUAACUCCGUGCCAGCAGCCGCGGUAAUACGGAGGGUGCGAGUGUUAAUCGGAAUAACUGGGCGUAAAGGGCACGCAGGCGGUUAUUUAAGUGAGGUGUGAAAGCCCCGGGCUUAACCUGGGAAUUGCAUUUCAGACUGGGUAACUAGAGUACUUUAGGGAGGGGUAGAAUUCCACGUGUAGCGGUGAAAUGCGUAGAGAUGUGGAGGAAUACCGAAGGCGAAGGCAGCCCCUUGGGAAUGUACUGACGCUCAUGUGCGAAAGCGUGGGGAGCAAACAGGAUUAGAUACCCUGGUAGUCCACGCUGUAAACGCUGUCGAUUUGGGGGUUGGGGUUUAACUCUGGCGCCCGUAGCUAACGUGAUAAAUCGACCGCCUGGGGANUACGGCCGCAAGGUUA